rnacentral:rRNA from 1 species
UACGUAGGGGGCUAGCGUUGUCCGGAAUCAUUGGGCGUAAAGAGCGUGUAGGCGGCCCGGUAAGUCCGCUGUGAAAUUCCGGGGCUCAACCCUGGAACUGCAUUGAAUACUACCUUGCUAGAGUACCGGAGAGGAAACUGGAAUUUACGGUGUAGCAGUGAAAUGCGUAGAGAUCGUAAGGAAGACCAGUGGCGAAGGCGAGUUUCUGGACGGUAACUGACGCUGAGGCACGAAGGCCAGGGGAGCAAACGGGG